rnacentral:rRNA from 1 species
GAUGAACGCUGGCGGCGUGCCUAAUACAUGCAAGUCGAACGCUGGAGAUCUAGCUUGCUAGAUCGAAGGAGUGGCGAACGGGUGAGUAAUACAUAAGCAACCUACCCACGAAGACUGGGAUAAUCUCUGGAAACGGGGACUAAUACCGGAUAGGUAAUCGGAAGGCAUCUUCUGGUUAUUAAAGGUUAAAAACACUGGUGGAUGGGCUUAUGGCGCAUUAGUUAGUUGGUGAGGUAACGGCCCACCAAGACGAUGAUGCGUAGCCGGCCUGAGAGGGUGAACGGCCACAUUGGGACUGAGACACGGCCCAGACUCCUACGGGAGGCAGCAGUAGGGAAUUUUCGGCAAUGGGGGCAACCCUGACCGAGCAACGCCGCGUGAGUGAAGACGGCCUUCGGGUUGUAAAGCUCUGUUGUAAGGGAAGAACGGUAGAUAGAGAAUAUCUAAGUGACGGUACCUUACCAGA